rnacentral:rRNA from 1 species
GAGUUUGAUCGUGGCUCAGGAUGAACGCCGGCGGUGUGCCUAAUACAUGCAAGUCGUACGCACUGGCCCAACUGAUUGAUGGUGCUUGCACCUGAUCGACGAUGGAUCACCAGUGAGUGGCGGACGGGUGAGUAACACGUAGGUAACCUGCCCUGUACAGGGGAUAACAAUCAGAAAUGACUGCUAAUACCGCAUAAGACCACAGCACCGCAUGGUGCAGGGGUAAAAACUCCGGUGGUACAGGAUGGACCCGCGUCUGAUUAGCUGGUUGGUGAGGUAACGGCUCACCAAGGCGACGAUCAGUAGCCGGCUUGAGAGAGUGAACGGCCACAUUGGGACUGAGACACGGCCCAAACUCCUACGGGAGGCAGCAGUGGGAAUAUUGCACAAUGGGGAAACCCGUGAUGCAGCAACGCGCGUGAGUGAAGAAGUAUUCGGUAUGUAAAGCUCUAUCAGCA